rnacentral:rRNA from 1 species
AUUGAACGCUGGCGGCAGGCUUAACACAUGCAAGUCGAACGAGUGGCGGACGGGUGAGUAAUGCUUGGGAAUCUAGCUUAUGGAGGGGGAUAACUACGGGAAACUGUAGCUAAUACCGCGUACCAUAGGCUGAGCCCAAGUGGGAUUAGGUAGUUGGUGAGGUAAAGGCUCACCAAGCCGACGAUCUCUAGCUGGUCGGAGAGGAUGACCAGCCAAAGUGGUACGGAGACACGGCCCAUACUCCGCAGGGAGGCAGCAGUGGGGAAGAUUGCGCAAUGUGGGCAACCGUCCGCAGCCAUGCCGCGUGAAUGAAGAAGGCCUUCGGGUUGUAAAGUUCUUUCGGUAGCGAGGCGUUAACUACAGAAGAAGCACCGGCUAACUCCGUGCCAGCAGCCGCGGUAAUUC